UGUGAAAAGACCAUCCCUAAGCAGCAGUUUGAGUCAAGCGCUGUGGCUGGAGGGGAUUACCCCAAGAGGUCGCGUCCAGAGUGCCCCUGGUCUGCAAGGGGGGUUGGACAUUCAGAAGUCUGAAGACUCUCCUCUCAUCCUUCAGAAAUCUCUUCUGGAGUUGAAAAUCUUUUCUGGGUUGCACGUUGCAGAGAAAGUGGUAGCUGACAGUUUUGAACUUUUUUUCCUCCAAAAAUCA